GAGUGUAAUGGUGUUGAUUUUGAGAUUUGGUAGGAGGGUGCUCAGGGAAUGGUUAGUACUUUGCAAUGCACACCAGUCUUACGUACACUUAACUUUCUGAGGGUGAUUCCAUGUUUUUAGACACACUGCAUAUUAUGCUUACCAAUGCAUGAUGUUUCCCUUGAUUAAUGUUCAGAAGAGUCACAAAUAUGUGUUGGAGGAAGUUUAUAAUCUCAAUAGGUUUCCCUCAUCCCACCCUAUGAUGAAAGAUGCGCGCACUAGAGUUUGACGACACCAUGAAGAUGGUGAGAGAGGAAGUGGGUUGUUUUGGUGUGUUCACAUGAUCUGGUACAUCACCUGCUAUAUAUGGAUUAAUCUUGCACAAGCCUCUUAUUAUAUGACUUAACACUUUGGUUCUUGUACAAUUGAAAACCAUUGUUUGUCCUUACAAAUGCGGUGAAGCUCUAGAGGAGAAGAAGGACCACCAGUUUGCAGAUUAAACCACAUCAGACCCUAGGUAUCACCAUCCUCAUAGACUGGGUAUGAACUAGAAAGGAAUUUUCAACAACACUCCUAAGGAAGCUGCGAGGAUUAAAGAUUGCCAAGAAAUUCCAGUUGCUCAUAUUGCCUAUGGCCCAUCAAGUAUUCAGCAAUCGGAACUUGGAAUUAGUCUGCAGACAUAUAUCUAUGUGUCUCCUUUGAAAAUUUAAUAAAUGCAUAUCUCUUUAGGCUUU